CUCUGUAUCUGUGUGUGUGCGUCUUGUGCUUUAACCCCUAGGACAAUAUGGAACUCGUGGGAUGUGGGUGGCAUGGAAGGACGACCCCUACAGAUGGAGGCCCCACUGGGAGACGAAGAAGAAGCAGCCACGAGUUUCUGGAAAGGAAUGCUGACAUGCAUCUGGGUACUGUUCAUGAUGUGGAUUCAUCUGUCCAGAGGCCUGAGGACAAAGCCUCUGCUAUGGAGCUGUCUGACCUGAUUGCUGUGGAGCUGGCGGGUUCCUGAAAAAUGAUCCAGCUCCUACCCUUGUUCUAUCAGUUAUUGCUGUACUAUUACUGCUGUACAUUGCUAUAUUGUUAUUGCUGUACAAUUGCUGUACUGCUGGAUUUCCCCUUGAUUUGUCAGUUAUUGCUUGCUAUCAGUUUUUCUUAUCCUGUCAGCUAUUUCUGCUGAGCACUAUGGGUAUCUUCAAGGCAGGUUGCAAAAUGCCAUGGUUGUUCAAAUUAAAAAUUGGAUACUGAGGUUAAUCUUGACAGAUUGGAUAUGGUUUUUUGACCUUUGCUGGUCACAGAAUAGGAUUUUUACUGUUUUUCAUGGUCCCUGAAAUACAAAAUUUACUAAUUGGUUGUCAUUUAUUCUAGUUAGCUUUCCAGGGACCUUACACCAGUGCUAUUGAGACCUUACUUAAAGGGGCUCUAUUCUGAGCAGAGUUUUCAGGAUUGUGCCAAAGCACAAUCUCCUUUGGGAAUGCUUAUAUAUGCUGGAGCAUGACAUUCAUGAUCUCAUGAAGCCGGAGUCAGGACUACUCAGGUCAAGUCCUUUUGGCAUUCGCCUCAAAAUAUCUUUCAGCAUAAUCUGGCUGGACUCAAUGUAUGACUAGUAACCAAAGACGGG